rnacentral:lncRNA from 1 species
UGGUCGUACAAGAAGAACAAGGGGGCGAUCCCCACACAUCAAAACCCUAAAUCUUCACCAAACUUGCAAAUUGAAGGCUCAAUCCAAGUCAAAAUCGAAAAUCAAGCAUAGAUUAUUGAUCCCCAUUGAAAGGGGAGUCAUAAGUUUGACUCUGACAAGCUAGGUAGGAGCUUGGAAAUGAACGGGUCAAAUGGAUACAAGUUCAAGUAUGAAGCUCGCAAGGAUGAAAGAUAUCCAAUGGAUACUCGCAUCGCUCUUAAUUAGCAAUUAUAAAGCAAGGUAUUAAACCGGGUUAGUAAGUUGAUCCGAGCCAGGUAUGUAUAAUAGAUUAACUCAUCAUGUAGAACUUGAAGUUCUAUGAAAGUUAGGCAAAAUAAAAAAAGGGCAUUCGGUUACCUUAAUAGGUAAACCGAAGGAUUUAAAUUAUUUAGACAGAAUGUUUUGAAAACAAGAUUUGGUUAAAAAUGAGAAAUUAGAAUCAAACAACAGGUUUGUUUGAUAAAAUCACGAACGGGUCAAAUUUGGUAAAAAGGGUUAAUAAGCCGAAGACUUAAAAGUCUUAAAAUUUUGUUAAUCCAGAUGUUGGGUCUUGACUCCAUUUGAUGGAGGUUCAAUUUACAAUCACGUAGGAAGAAACGGUAGGUCAAACAGACGAGCGGUUUGAAAGAUACGAAAGUUUUCGUGUCAAAAACGGCAAAAAGGAAAGGAAUGAUGCAGGGGCCACCGUAACUUACGGUGCCACCGUAAGUUACGGUGGACAUGAUUUGGUUACGGUAAAUGCCUACUGUUGUACGGUUGAAUAAUUGAAACACAGAGACCACCGUAACUUACGGUGCCACCGUAAGUUACGGUGGAGGUCAGAAAUGAGUUUUUAUUUUGGGUUUAAGAUAUUCAUGUGGGAUUUUCCUAAUUUCCCCAUUGUAUUAGUUUAAUUAAUUAUCAAAACUGACCUUUAAGUUGGUUUUGAUCACAGGUGAAUGUCGAGGGUCCCGGAUGAAGAUCGAGCAUCGAGCAAGAACCGAACACACAUUAAAUAAAGCUUCCGCAACAUUGUUUUGUCGUUAUUCUAAACGGUGAUUUAAAUCACAUUAUGUAUAUCACUUAAAUUGUAAAAGUUUUUAAUAAACCCGCAUUAUGUACAGUAUGUGUGGUCUUAACUACACAUCUAAUUGUGGUAUUUUCAUGUAAAAUUGUAAUUUAGUAACUAGGGUGUUACAAGUUGGUAAUCAGAGCUCAUGGUUAAAGAUUAAGGUGUGUUCGGUUCGAGGCUUGAUCGCAAAUCCGGUAAGUACAUGUAUGUUAAUAGCUUAGCAUGCUAAAGUGUUGUAAACAACACAUAGGGCUAUCGUGUGAUACACGUUACCCCAAUUAAAAUGAUUAAUAUGGUUGACGAAAAUACGCGCGUUGACGCGUAUAGUAAAAAAAAAA